rnacentral:rRNA from 1 species
UAGGGAAUCUUCGGCAAUGGACGAAAGUCUGACCGAGCAACGCCGCGGGAGUGAAGAAGGUUUUCGGAUCGUAAAACUCUGUUGUUAGAGAAGAACAAGGACGUUAGUAACUGAACGUCCCCUGACGGUAUCUAACCAGAAAGCCACGGCUAACUACGUGCCAGCAGCCGCGGUAAUACGUAGGUGGCAAGCGUUGUCCGGAUUUAUUGGGCGUAAAGCGAGCGCAGGCGGUUUCUUAAGUCUGAUGUGAAAGCCCCCGGCUCAACCGGGGAGGGUCAUUGGAAACUGGGAGACUUGAGUGCAGAAGAGGAGAGUGGAAUUCCAUGUGUAGCGGUGAAAUGCGUAGAUAUAUGGAGGAACACCAGUGGCGAAGGCGGCUCUCUGGUCUGUAACUGACGCUGAGGCUCGGAAGCGUGGGGAGCAAACAGG